AACCUUUGCAAUGCGCGUAAGCGUGACAGGGGAACUCCGAGUGGCAGCCGGAUAUUUCUGGCUGUCUUUUGCCGAACCUAAACCGUUCGGAGAAUAAGAUCUGGGCAAGACCAGUGCCAGCCGCCGCGGUAAUACUGGCAGAUCGAGUGGUAUCCACGAAUAUUGGGUCUAAAGAGUCCGUAGCUGGCCUGUUAAGUUCACUGUGAGAUCUUGGAGCUCAACUUCAAGGCGUGCAGUGAAUACUGGCAGGCUUGAGAGUGGGGG
rnacentral:rRNA from 1 species